rnacentral:rRNA from 1 species
ACGCUCGACACCUACGGGAGGGAGCAGUGAGGAAUAUUGGUCAAUGGGCGCUAGCCUGAACCAGCCAAGUAGCGUGAAGGAUGAAGGCUCUAUGGGUCGUAAACUUCUUUUAUAUAAGAAUAAAGUGCAGUAUGUAUACUGUUUUGUAUGUAUUAUAUGAAUAAGGAUCGGCUAACUCCGUGGCAGCAGCGCGGUAAUCUGAGCGGGCUGGCAAGGC